GGUAGAAGAAAAACCCUUCCAGUAGCUUUUGUAAAACUAAUAAUUAAAAUGCAGUCAAAUAUUACUCAUUAGCUGGGUAUUGAUAUACUUUGUUGUCAUUUCUUGAAGGAAAGAAUUAGCAAUCCUGCUGUUAAUUUGUAUUGAAGAUGUUUGUCAGAUCAAACAUUCCCUGACGUGUGGUAGGAGGCAGGAAGAAUGACACUUGCUAAUUUGAAUUUCAGAAAGCACCUAAACUUCAUUCUGAUCUCCAGAGAGUAUCGAAAACAAUUAAUUGCCUGCUUUCACAAAAAAUCUUUCUGAACAUUUGAGAACUGCUAUCAAGCCUCCUCCCAGACUUUACGCUCCUGAAUUAAGCUUUGCAAGCUUAGUUCUUGCAAAGUCUUAUGCUAGAAAAGCAUUUUUUAAAGCUCAUUCCUAUUUCAGGUUCUGUGACUUUCUCCACCUGGUUCAUUUAUUGUAUUGACAUGUGAUAACCUGCAGUAGUCACAGGGAUCCAGGUAAAGAAUUACCAGGUAAAGAUUUGCCUCCGAGUAAAAAGGAAGGAAUAUUUUGUGUGUUUAACAUAAAAUGUACUUUUAUCUAACACAGCAUGAUUGCUUCUUAGACAAUUGUACAAUUUUAUUGCUUGUUUGUAAUCUGUUCAAAUUACCAGAUUCUUUUGUGCACUGUGUUUAGUUAGUCAUUCUCCUUUUUGUAUUUGUGCAGGUAAUUUUACUUGUAUAGGUACAUGUGAAUUAACUUAAUUGCUUAGCUGCAUUCAGAUUUCUGCUGUGCACCAAGCUAAUUAAAAAGGUACAUUCUGCACUCUGAUGGGUUUGAAGUCUUUUUAGCUUAGUGUAAUUUUCAAAUGCAAAAGCAUCUUAAUCAUCUACCAGUUCAAUAAUGAACAUGUCAAGCAGACUCUUGCAGAACCUGACCUGAUGCCUCUUGCUUACUUAAAAAUGAAUCACUCAUAACUAUUGGUAACUAAUUCUGUGAAUAGGAUUUUCCAAAUAACUACAUACCUCAAAUCUGCCUGUCUAUGCAAAUGUCCUGUGAGAUGUCAAAAGCCAAAAUCCAGAUGCAUGACAGUAUUUUUUCUUUUAUGUCCAUAAAGCUUGUUUUCUACUGUAAAGAGAAAUAAACUUGCUCUUACAUAAUUUAUUUAUUAGAAAUUAAUUUGUCUCUUACAUCCUGUUCAUGUUCAAGAUCCUUACAAACAGACCUUUUCAUUAUUUCUUCUGAUACUUUUCUGGUUAUU